rnacentral:rRNA from 1 species
GACGAACGCUGGCGGCGUGCUUAACACAUGCAAGUCGAACGGAAAGGCCCUGCUUUUGUGGGGUGCUCGAGUGGCGAACGGGUGAGUAACACGUGAGUAACCUGCCCUUGACUUUGGGAUAACUUCAGGAAACUGGGGCUAAUACCGGAUAGGAGCUCCUGCUGCAUGGUGGGGGUUGGAAAGUUUCGGCGGUUGGGGAUGGACUCGCGGCUUAUCCGCUUGUUGGUGGGGUAGUGGCUUACCAAGGCUUUGACGGGUAGCCGGCCUGAGAGGGUGACCGGCCACAAUGGGACUGAGAUACGGCGCAGACUCCUACGGGAGGCAGCAGUGGGGAAUAUUGCACAAUGGGCGGAAGCCUGAUGCAGCAACGCCGCGUGCGGGAUGACGUCCUUCGGGUUGUAAACCGCUUUCGCCUGUGACGAAGCGUGAGUGACGGUAAUGGGUAAAGAAGCACCGGCUAACUACGUG